rnacentral:rRNA from 1 species
CCUACGGGUGGCAGCAGUGGGGAAUAUUGCACAAUGGGGGAAACCCUGAUGCAGCGACGCCGCGUGAGUGAAGAAGUACUUCGUUAUGUAAAGCUCUAUCAGCAGGGAGGAAAAUGACGGUACCUGAGUACACAGCCCCGGCGACCUCCGUCCAAGCAGCCGCGGUAAUACGUAGGGGGCGAGGGUUAUCCGGAUUGACGGGGUUAAACGUGUACGGGGGGGGAUGGUUAAGUCAGUGGGCAAAUUGGGGGGCUAAACCCCUUCCCGCCAUUGAAACUGGCGCUCUGGAGUGGAAGAGAAGUAGGCGGAAUGCGUGGUGUAGCGGUGAAAUGCAUAGAUAUCACGCAGAACCCCGAUUGCGAAGGCAGCAUGCCGG